GUAACCUACGGGACGCAGCAGUGGGGGAUAUUGCACAAUGGGGGGAACCCUGAUGCAGCGACGCCGCGUGGGCGAUGGAGUGCUUCGGCAUGUAAAGCCCUAUCAGCAGGGAAGAAAAUGACGGUACCUGACUAAGAAGCCCCGGCUAAAUACGUGCCAGCAGCCGCGGUAAUACGUAUGGGGCAAGCGUUAUCCGGAUUUACUGGGUGUAAAGGGAGCGUAGACGGCGCGGCAAGUCUGAAGUGAAAGGCAGGGGCUUAACCCCUGAACUGCUUUGGAAACUGCCAUGCUAGAGUGCUGGAGAG
rnacentral:rRNA from 1 species